rnacentral:rRNA from 1 species
UCGUCAUCUAAUUAGUGACGCGCAUGAAUGGAUUAACGAGAUUACAUAGUUGUCCCUAUUUACUAUCUAGCGAAACCACAGCCAAGGGAACGGGCUUGGAAUAAUCAGCGGGGAAAGAAGACCCUGUUGAGCUUGACUCCAAUCUGGCUUUGUAAAGAGACACAGGAGGUGUAGCAUAAGUGGGAAUUGCUUUUUCUCAAGUAGAACUGGCGCCAAUGAAAUACCACUACUCUUGUAGUUUCUUCACUAAACCGUGAAGCGACGAUAUCGUGGGCUUGGCCAACGGCCUCGCCUGUCGAUACGUCUCGAUUUAACGAGCGGGAAGUGCACUGGAAGCCGUGCUGCCGCCCAGAGCGGCCAGUACGGUUAGUAGGCGUACGAACUCUCGGCUGUUUAUCGACACGGAUAACCGGCCAGACGGGGAGUUCGACUGGGGCGGUACGUCUGUCAAAACAUAACGCAGGUGUCCUAAGGCGAGCUCAGCGAGGCGAGAAACCUCGCGUAGAGCAAAAGGGCAAAUGCUCGCUUGACUCUUGUGCUCAGUACGCAUAGGAGCUGCGAAAGCAGGGCCUAUCGAUCCUCUUGGCGUGAAGAGAUUUCAUCAAGAGGUGACAGAAAAGUUACCACAGGGAUAACUGGCUUGUGGCAGCCAAGCGUUCAUAGCGACGUUGCUUUUUGAUCCUUCGAUGUCGGCUCU